rnacentral:rRNA from 1 species
GAUGCAGCGACGCCGCGUGAGGGAUGACGGCCUUCGGGUUGUAAACCUCUUUCAGCAGGGACGAAGCGCAAGUGACGGUACCUGCAGAAGAAGCACCGGCUAACUACGUGCCAGCAGCCGCGGUAAUACGUAGGGUGCAAGCGUUGUCCGGAAUUACUGGGCGUAAAGAGUUCGUAGGCGGUUUGUCGCGUCGUUUGUGAAAACCAGCAGCUCAACUGCUGGCUUGCAGGCGAUACGGGCAGACUUGAGUACUGCAGGGGAGACUGGAAUUCCUGGUGUAGCGGUGAAAUGCGCAGAUAUCAGGAGGAACACCGGUGGCGAAGGCGUGUCUCUGGGCAGUAACUGACGCUGAGGAACGAAAGCGUGGGUAGCGAACAGGAUUAGAUACCCUGGUAGUCCACGCCGUAAACGGUGGGCGCUAGGUGUGGGUUCCUUCCACGGAAUCCGUGCCGUAGCUAACGCAUUAAGCGCCCCGCCUGGGGAGUACGGCCGCAAGGCUAAAACUCAAAGGAAUUGACGGA